GUGGAACAGUGCGCAACUGAAGUGCUCGACGAAAUGUCUUAACUACUUGCUGUUGGUGGUCUUCGCGCAUUCCGCCUAUUGUGGUGAAGAGUCACCGACCAAUGCACUGCUGUUGAUGUCCGUGAUGCCGCCACUUCACCCUCAUGUCAAAUCCCCACUAUAGCUGACGCAGCCCAACCCGCAGGACCUUGGAUGCAGCGGCCUUCAUGGACAAAGCCACUGGCUAUGGUUUGCUAACAAUAAAGCAGGAUAAUAUUUUGGUGUACCAAAGUUCUUUAUGACACAAAAUAUAACUAAAACAUAUGUUUGUAUUAGCUUCAUCUAAAAUAAUCUAAACCUCGGUUAAUCAAGUUAGGAUUUCUUACAAAUUGUUUUAUCAAAAACAGGAAGGUUACAAGAUCAAAAGAGCAGGAAAUGAUCAAGACAAGACAAUAGUAACAAAGGGACCUACCAAAAAUUAUCAUUGGGUGCCUCGAUAGUGGAACCACUUAAUAAAGAUUUCUGGGUUACAUUAGGUUCAAUAUCAAGUGAUCUAGCUUCGAAGCAGAAGGGACUCAGGUGACAAGCAAUUGGCAACACAAGCAUUUGAUCGUGCUCGAAGCAUUGAUCCCUCAUUUGCCUUGCCAUGGGCUGGAAAUAUCUCUACAGUUGCCAG